UUUGGGGGUGGGGACCCCAGUGUGGGGUUAUGGGGGAGAUGCUCCCAUUGGGAUGUUCCUAUAUGGGAUGUUCCUAUAUGGGAUGUCCCUAUAUGGGAUGCUCCCAUUGGGAUGUUCCUAUAUGGGAUGUCCCUAUAUGGGAUGCUCCCAUUGGGAUGUUCCUAUAUGGGAUCCCCCCCAUCCCCACAGUGACUCCCCGGUGCCCCGUGAGCGCCCCCCAUGCCCGGUGCUGAUCCUAUGGGGUGGCUGUGACCCCUUCCUGGACCCCCGGCUGGCCCCAUACCUACAACAUCGUAUGGCCCCCAGUGCCCAGCUCCACAUCAUCCCCCACGCGGGGCAUUGGCUGCCCGAGGAUCACCCCGAUGUCGUCAAUGGACUCUUAUGGGAUUUCCUGGGGGGCAGAGAGUGAGAAUGGAGGCGUCAGCCCAACCCCAUAGUGAGGAUGGGGCCCUCCCGGGGUCUGUGGGGCGGUGGGGGGACUGAUAUUGGGGUGGGGGUAAUAGAUCCCAAUGGGCAGCCCAGUAUUGGGGUGGGAGUUGCCAUGUUGGGAUGGAGACCUUGGGAUUGGGAUGGGAGGGUUGAGAUCCCAAUGGGGACCCCAGUAUUGGGGUCAGGAUCACCAUGUUGGGAUGGAGACCUUGGUAUUGGGAUGGGGACCCCAGUAUUGGGAUGGGGACCCCAAUAUGGGGAUGGGAGGGCUGAGAUCCCAAUGGGGAGCCCGGUAUUGGGGUGGGGGCUGCCAUGUUGGGAUGGAGACAUUGAGAUCCUAUGGGGACCCCAUGAUUGGGAUGGGGACCCCAAUAUGGGGGUGGGAGGGUUGAGAUCCCAAUGGGGACCCCAACAUUGGGGUGGGGGCUGCCAUUUUGAGAUGGGAACAUUGAGGUCCUAUGGGGACCCCAAUAUGGGGAUGGGAGGGUUGAGAUCCCAAUGGGGACCCCAGUAUUGGGGUCAGGAUCACCAUGUUGGGAUGGAGACCUCGGUAUUGGGAUGGGGACGUUCAGAUCCCAAUAGGGACCCCAACAUUGGGAUGGGGACCCCAAUAUGGGGAUGGGAGGGCUGAGAUCCCAAUGGGGACCCCAACAUUGGGGUCAGGAUCGCUAUGUUCGUACAGGGGCAUUGAGAUCCCAAUAGGGACCCCAUUAUUGGGGUGGGAAUCACCAUGUUGGGAUGGAGACCCCAAUGUUGGGAUGGAGACCUCAGUAUGGGGUUGGGGACCCCAGUAUUGGGAUGGGGACAUUGAGAUCCCAAUGGGGACCCCAACAUUGGGGUUGAGAUACCGGUGUUGGGGUGGGGGUCCCAGUGUUGGGAUGGGGACAUUGAGAUCCUAAUGGAGACCCCAUCAUUAGGGUUGGGGUCAUUGGGAUUCUUGUAGGGACUCCAUUAUUUUAUAGCAAAUAAUCAUAUAUAUAUAUAUAUAUAUGUAUACAAAACAUAUAUAUUUUAAUGAUUGUAAUUAAUUUGUAAAUUAAUUAAUUAAAAUUGGACAGCAAUGCACAUACAUGGACCCUCCCCCGUCCCCCAUUGAUCCCCAUUAACCCCCAUUAUCCCCAUUGAUCCCCAUUAAACCCCAUUUAUCCCCAUUGAUCCCCAUUGUCCCCCAUUGUCCCCUAUUGAUCCCCAUUGAUCCCAUUGAUCCCAUUGUCCCCAUUGACCCCAUUAUCCCCUAUUGAUCCCCAUUGAUCCCCAUUGUCCCCAGUGUCCCCCAUUGUCUCCAUUGAUCCCCAUUGAUCCCCACAGUCCCCCCCCGACCCCAAUGUCCCCCAUUGACCCCCAUUGGCCCCACUGAUCCCCAUUGAACCCAUUAUCCCCCACCGACCCCAUUGAUCCCCAUUGGCCCCCAUUGGCCCCCAUUGGCCCCCAUUGGCCCCAUUGAUCCCCACUGACCCCAUUGAUCCCCAUUGUCCCCCAUUGACCCCACUGACCUUAUUAUCCCCCAUUAUCCCCAAUGUCCCCCAUUGUCCCCCAUUAUCCCUAUUGAUCCCCAUUUGAAUCCGAUGUCUCCCAUGUCCCCCAUUGAUCCCGAUUUGAUCCAUUGACACUCUAUGAUCCCA
ensembl:lncRNA